CCUACGGGCGGCAGCAGUGGGGAAUAUUGCACAAUGGGGGAAACCCUGAUGCAGCGACGCCGCGUGAAGGAAGAAGUAUUUCGGUAUUUAAACUUCUAUCAGUCGGGAAGAAAAUGACGGUACCUGACUAAGAAGUCCCGGUUAAAUACGUGCCAGCAGCCGCGGUCAUACGUCGGGGGCACGCGUUAUCCGGAUUUACUGGGUGUAAAGGGAGCGUAGGCGGGUUAGCAAGUCAGAAGUGAAAGCCCGGGGCUCAACUCCGGGACUGCUUUUGAAACUGUUGAACUAGAUUGCAGGAGAGGUAAGUGGAAUUCGUGGUGUAGCGGUGAAAUGCGUAGAUAUUAGGCGGAACACCAGUGGCGAAGGCAGCUUACUGGACUGUAAAUGACGCUGAGGCUCGAAAGCGUGGGGAGCGAACAGGAUUAGAUACCCGAGUAGUC
rnacentral:rRNA from 1 species